GGUGGCGCCAGGCAGUGCCAAGCACCCCUGGCAGCCCUGCAGAGGGUUCUCAAAUCCAGAUUUCAUUCUGCAGUCCCGGCAGUGCUUUGACGACUGCCUCACUAAAGGAAGCUAAAAGCUGUGCCGAUGCCUCCCAGACGAGCCUCGUUGGAAGCACAGAACCUUCACGACUCGGAGCCGCUGACACGGUGACAAAGGGAGCCCUGCUCAGAGAGGAUUAUUGGCAACUGGCACCACCCCCACGUCUGGAGGAGGGACGUUUCUAGGAUGACCCCCAGAGUGGAGAAAUAGCCGAGAUAACAAAAUGUAUCUACCCUCUCCAAGAGUGUAAACUAACCUGGUGGCUGGAAAAAACAAACAAACAAACAAAGAUCUGUGAAGAAAGAUCUGACUUUUCAACUGGCGCAUACCGUUCCUUGAAACAGAGCCCUUAACAGAUUGCCUGGUGUCCGCCCACAUUGGUGAGGGUGAUCUUCUUUGCUCAGCGUACUGAAUCAAAUGCCAGACUCUUCCAGGAGGACCUUCACAGUUCAUUCAUCAGGAGGAAGGGGAGUCAUCCCAGCCUUCACCACCUGUGGAACGCAGCAACCUCACUGUGGGAGACACCAGUAGCCUGUUCCUCCCAAGAAUGAGCCGCAGAGGGUGUUGCCCGCAGCAGGAGGGAGCCGAUUCUCAUCUGAGAACAAAGUGACUUGAUGAAUUCUACAUUUUAAAGAGCCUGGACGCAGCUGACCUUAAUGUUUAUUCAAUCAAUGCUGGGAAGGAAACUAACAUUCAAAGGUGCUUUGCUCUGCUUGCCUCCAGGACUGGGGCAGGAGAAUGCCUUGUAGAGUGUGCUUUGUGCUAUUAUGGUCAAACUGGCAUAGUCAGCCAAAAGAGAGGCGCCCACAUAGAUCCCCCAGAAGAAGUCACUGAUGUGGAGGUGGCAAAGUGUAAGAAAGACAGAACCAAUCUGGGUCAACUGGGUUAGACAGAGAUCAGCUCUGCACUCCUAAGGCCAUGGGAACCUGUUCCUGAAUCUGUGGAGCGUCGAUUUUCUGUUCUACUCUGAGUCCUACCAUAAGUAGAAGCAUCAUUAUGUGGAAAGGAAUUCCCAGCGGUUCCUAAACAUCCUUCUCCUCCUUUAACAAAUAAAGACAUAUGCAUCUUGCAUUAAUACUGUGGAAUAAAUAAUGAAUUAUAAAUGGAAUAGAAAUUAUAAUACAGUGAUGUGAUAUCUGCACAGAUUUUUAUGGUCCCCGGAGUCAGUCCCUUUAGAGAUGUACAUUAUUUUCUCUAUUUAAAGAUAUUCAUAACUCUUUGUUAAUCCAGCUCACCAUACUCAUCUAGGGACACUGGGAGGGAAAAUGUAUUUGGAAUUCUAUGGGCUCCAUUCUUCCAUUGCUUUUCAAUUACAGACACCAUUCGUCUUGUGUGUUUUAUCUCUUGGAGCGUUCUCCCUUGUGCUGCUGGAAGAUAACACUCUUUUCAGGUCUGUGAAGUUGCUGGGUUUUACUACGUGUCUCCUAACACCCAUAGGUGUAUGUAAUCUCACUGUAACAGAAUGUUGUCAUGUCUUGUUGACUAAUUAAGCACCCUCGUUCCAAAGCUCAGCAGCUGAAAGUUCAAGUGUUAAACGGUGGGAUAGUGAAUCCAGGAGGCAGUGAAUGAGGAGGCGACUCCGGCCCUGGCUGGGAUUUUACUUCUUGCUCUUCUGUUGUAUUAUUUUGUCUCUGUUUUGCCACAUGCUGCCUGGUUGAAGAUGCCAGGAGGCUCGACACAGAGCCAAAUAUAUUGUCCAAACGUGAGAUUAAAAAUUAGAUCAUAUGUGAUAAAAGACAGCAAUUUAUUUUAGCUUGGUGUUACAUCAGGAAAGUAUGAAAAAAUAUAAUCAAUUUAUUUGCUUACUCACACAACCAAUACUGAGUGUCUGCUAUGUGCUAGACACAGGAAAAAAAUACCAGGUCUAAAAUGAUCCAUAAGGCAAGAUUCUUGCUCUUGAAACACACAAUCCACUGGGAGAGAAAGACAAGUAGUAGAAGAUUAUAGGACAGCAUCAUGAGAAUUGGGAGAAGGACUUGUUGAAUUCAGGGAAGGUGGCAUUUGAGCAGUGUAAGGACCUGCUGGAUGAACAGUGGGAAUUGAAGUAGGAGGAAAACAGAAUUUAGAAGAUCGUGAAGGACUUCCCAUUCUGCAGCAAAAACUUGGGCUUUUACUCAAGGACUUGAGGAGCUGUUGAAGAUUUCAACUGAGAAGCUUCGAGAGGAACCUUGAGACUGAGCUAGUGCCCCUCAAUGGCUGUGUGAAAGGAUGGACUCAAUGGGAGGAAAGAAUCAAAUAAGCUGAGAGGACUCUAAAGAAAAAGAAAAGAGGCACUGAAAGACUGGGCUAAACAGUGAUGAUAGGCUCUCAAGUUAUGGAAGAAGCAUGUAAAUGGGGCUGAGCAGGUCGCUGGAGUAAGGAGAGUUGGAGUCUGCUUUGGCUACCUUGCAUGGAAAUGAUGCUGGUUGUUAAACCAAGGAAUACAGGAAAAAAGACACUGUUUAGAGGUGACAUCAUGAUUUCAGUGUGAGUCAAUUUCAGUUUGAGGCACCAAUGAGACACUCAGGAGGAGUGGGCUAGUUAACCACCCACCAGUGCCCGGAGCUCAAGAGGAAUGUCAGGGCUGGGAUGAAGGUAAGUCAGAAACAUUCCACAGCAGUUAAAAACCAAGUCUACAUGCAGUGGGAAUAACAGUAGCAAGAUGUAACUAUAUAAUACUGGUCAAUAAUAAAAUUUAAAGCAAAUAAGAAGAAAUCUAGGAAGGUAGACUUGGAGCAAGCAUGUAGAGAGAUAUGAGUGAUCCAGAAACAAGUUAUGGCCCAAAAGUUAACAUGGGGAGAGAGUGGAUAUGUGAUUUUCAGAUACCAUAGAAAGUGUCUGUCCUACUAGCAUACAGUCCUAUCGACUGGUUACUAGGUGAGGCAAUAGAUGUGUUAAUUAGCUGGGUUUGGGGGAUAUUUCAAAAUGUAUACAUAGAUCAAAACAACACAUUGUAUAUGUUAAAUAAAAUUUCAAUUUCUCAGUGAUACACCAAUAAAGCUAAAAACAAACAAAAAAAGGUGGGGGGGAGGGCGCAGGUGCAGUGGCGCAGUCCUAUAAUCCCAGCAAUUUUGGAGGCCAAAGUGAGCAGAUCUCUUGAGUCCAGGAGUUUGAGACCAGUCUGGGCAACAUGGUAAAACCCCUUUUCUACGAAAAAUGCAAAAACAUUAAACGUGGUGGCAUAUGCCUGUAGUCCCAGCUACUCUGGAGGCUAAGAUGGAAGGACUACCUGGGCCCAGGAGGUCGAGACUUCAGUGAGUCAUGAUCACACCACUGCACUCUAGCCUGGGUGACAGAGUGAGACCUUGUCUUAAAAA
ensembl:lncRNA